UACGUAGGGUGCGAGCGUUGUCCGGAAUUAUUGGGCGUAAAGGGCUCGUAGGCGGUUUGUCGCGUCGAAUGUGAAAACCCGGGGCUCAACCCCGGGCCUGCAUUCGAUACGGGCAGACUAGAGUUCGGUAGGGGAGUCUGGAAUUCCUGGUGUAGCGGUGAAAUGCGCAGAUAUCAGGAGGAACACCAAUAGCGAAGGCAGCUCGCUGGGACGGUACUGACGCUAAGGCGCGAAAGCGUGGGGAGCGAACAGG
rnacentral:rRNA from 1 species